CUUAACACAUGCAAGUCGAACGGAAAGGCCCUUCGGGGUACUCGAGUGGCGAACGGGUGAGUAACACGUGGGCAACCUGCCCCUAGCUCUGGGAUAACACCGGGAAACCGGUGCUAAUACCGGAUACACACUUUUUGAGGCAUCUCAGAUGGUGGAAAGUUUUUCGGCUAGGGAUGGGCCCGCGGCCUAUCAGCUUGUUGGUGGGGUAAUGGCCUACCAAGGCGACGACGGGUAGCCGGCCUGAGAGGGCGACCGGCCACACUGGGACUGAGACACGGCCCAGACUCCUACGGGAGGCAGCAGUGGGGAAUAUUGCGCAAUGGGCGAAAGCCUGACGCAGCGACGCCGCGUGAGGGAUGACGGCCUUCGGGUUGUAAACCUCUUUCAGCUCUGACGAAGCGAAAGUGACGG
rnacentral:rRNA from 1 species